UAGAACAAAAAGUUGUGUUUGAAUGACGAAAAUUGAAGUAACCAUUUUCAACAUCAUAUUGGAGUCAGAAGCAGAUCACUAAAAGAACGUUGCACGAAAGAAAAUCAAAAAGAAAUAUUUUUCCAACCUAACUCAACUUGGAGAUUCCUCAAUGCCACUCAUUAAUAGGGAAAAGGACCUUUCAACAUGGGACCUAUAAUCUGGCCAAUAAAAACCUGAUUUCAAACCUAAUUUGUCAAUUGAGGUUAUUAUAUGAGGUAAGUGUAAUUUAUCCGUAGUCAUUUUAAGUAAACGGUGUCUAAUAAUUUUAUCGAUACUACAUUGUUUUGCACAAUAAUCUGCUUUUCACUAUCAUUUAAAGCACUUCACUAACUCAAACGGCUUGAUCCUGUUGAGCUUCAAUAAAAUGGGUAUUGUCGAGGAGCUAGAUAACCUCAAAGUUCACUGCUACUGGCUACUGGGGUCUAGUCAACAGUUAGAAACACAUAUUAAAAUCUGAGGUAUUCACCUUGUAUGAAAUCUUUGAAUGCAUCACCAAAUUCUUCGUAAUUAUUUUUAAGAAGAUGUUCUGCUUGAUCUUUUAUGCUAUAGAGGAAAGAUUGUGAAUCCGCAUAAACUUUUCUUCCGUUUUCAGGAAAUUCAUUGGUACCUUUUCGUAAUUGUUGAUUACUCGCAAAAGAACCCACCAUUCCGAAUCUAUAAGAAAUAAAAUAAUAUCUACAAAUAUUUAUUCAGAUGUGUCUCAAGGAUCAAAUAUAUCAAACAAAUAAUGAAAAAAAAAUAAAA